rnacentral:lncRNA from 1 species
CUAAUAAUAGACACCAUUAUUAUUUUUUAUGUCUUCAUACAAUGUGUUGCCAUGUUUUACUCUUUAACAUCCUUUCGUUUUACUUUUUGUUGGAUGGAGCUGUAUUCAACUCUGAAGAGGGCAUUUGCUAUAAUGCCAAUGGUGCAACAAAUGUAUUUUUCUUUUUCUUUUUUUUUAUUUGUCUUAAAGAAGGAUAUUUCCAUUUUCACUUCUCCCGUUGCAUCGCCAAUCCCCAAGUCUUCUUUUUCAUGUCUUAUCAUCUCAACAAACAAACAAACAAACAAACUCUCUGAUAGGGGUUGGGUUGGGGUGGGGUGGAGGGCAAUGAUACAAUUCAUAACAGCUUGGUGCAAUCGGAACAACGAGGGACAUACAAACUAAUAAGUGAGCAGCCACCAUCCCUUUAUAUUAAUUACAUUAAGCUAAUAAAUGACUACAUCCCUUUAUAUUAAUUACAUUAAGCUAAUAAAUGACUACAUCCCUUCAUGGUCACAAGGGUAUGCAUUAAGAAUCGAUUAUUAGGGAGAAGGCAACCAACCUUAGCACAAAACUACAAUUUUAAGAAACAAAGAGAAAAAGGUAAAGAGAUAACACUUCAUAUAGUAUAUGUUCUAACCCAAUAUUCAAUUUUGAAUUGUC